UGCAUCUCCCACCUCCCAGCAAACAAGCUCUUUUGACCCACAUCCCUUCUCCCAGUGACUGAACAGUCCCAGCUCCGGCUGGAGAAGGGCGUCUGCAGACCCCGCUGUUGCCUCCCAGGGGAGUCUCCAGGCCCAGCUCUCGCCCCACCGCGACCUCCCAGGCCCAAGUCCCUGCCUACCUCCCAGCAGCCCGAGUGCGAUCCUGUUCCUCCCUCACGGUGGCCUGUUGAGGCAGGGGGUCACGCUGACCUCUGUCCGCGUGGGAGGGGCCGGUGUGAGGCAAGGGCUCACACUGACCUCUCUCAGCGUGGGAGGGGCCGGUGUGAGGCAAGGGGCUCACGCUGACCUCUCUCAGCGUGGGAGGGGCCGGUGUGAGGCAAGGGCUCAGGCUGACCUCUCUCAGCGUGGGAGGGGCCGGUGUGAGGCAAGGGGCUCACGCUGACCUCUGUCCGCGUGGGAGGGGCCGGUGUGAGGCGAGGGGCUCGGGCUGACCUCUCUCAGCGUGGGAGGGGCCGGUGUGAGGCAAGGGCUCAGGCUGACCUCUCUCAGCGUGGGAGGGGCCGGUGUGAGGCAAGGGGCUCACGCUGACCUCUGUCCGCGUGGGAGGGGCCGGUGUGAGGCGAGGGGCUCGGGCUGACCUCUCUCAGCGUGGGAGGGGCCGGUGUGAGGCAAGGGCUCAGGCUGACCUCUCUCAGCGUGGGAGGGGCCGGUGUGAGGCAAGGGGCUCACGCUGACCUCUGUCCGCGUGGGAGGGGCCGGUGUGAGGCAAGGGCUCACACUGACCUCUCUCAGCGUGGGAGGGGCCGGUGUGAGGCGAGGGGCUCGGGCUGACCUCUCUCAGCGUGGGAGGGGCCGGGGUGAGGCAAAGGGCUCACACUGACCUCUCUCAGCGUGGGAGGGGCCGGUGUGAGGCAAGGGGCUCACGCUGACCUCUCUCAGCGUGGGAGGGGCCGGUGUGAGGCAAGGGCUCAGGCUGACCUCUCUCAGCGUGGGAGGGGCCGGUGUGAGGCAAGGGGCUCACGCUGACCUCUGUCCGCGUGGGAGGGGCCGGUGUGAGGCGAGGGGCUCGGGCUGACCUCUCUCAGCGUGGGAGGGGCCGGUGUGAGGCAAGGGCUCAGGCUGACCUCUCUCAGCGUGGGAGGGGCCGGUGUGAGGCAAGGGGCUCACGCUGACCUCUGUCCGCGUGGGAGGGGCCGGUGUGAGGCAAGGGCUCACACUGACCUCUCUCAGCGUGGGAGGGGCCGGUGUGAGGCGAGGGGCUCGGGCUGACCUCUCUCAGCGUGGGAGGGGCCGGUGUGAGGCAAGGGCUCAGGCUGACCUCUCUCAGCGUGGGAGGGGCCGGUGUGAGGCAAGGGGCUCACGCUGACCUCUGUCCGCGUGGGAGGGGCCGGUGUGAGGCGAGGGGCUCGGGCUGACCUCUCUCAGCGUGGGAGGGGCCGGUGUGAGGCAAGGGCUCAGGCUGACCUCUCUCAGCGUGGGAGGGGCCGGUGUGAGACAAGGGGCUCACACUGACCUCUCUCAGCGUGGGAGGGGCCGGGGUGAGGCAAGGGGCUCGGGCUGACCUCUCUCAGCGUGGGAGGGGCCGGUGUGAGACAAGGGCUCAGGCUGACCUCUCUCAGCGUGGGAGGGGCCAGUGUGAGGCAAGGGCUCAGGCUGACCUCUCUCAGCGUGGGAGGGGCCGGUGUGAGGCAAGGGCUCAGGCUGACCUCUCGCAGCGUGGGAGGGGCCGGUGUGAGGCAAGGGGCUCACGCUGACCUCUGUCCACGUGGGAGGGGCUGGGGUGAGGCAAGGGCUCACACUGACCUCUCUCAGCGUGGGAGGGGCCGGUGUGAGGCAAGGGGCUCACGCUGACCUCUGUCCGUGUGGGAGGGGCCGGUGUGAGGCAAGGGCUCACACUGACCUCUCUCAGCGUGGGAGGGGCCGGUGUGAGGCAAGGGGCUCACGCUGACCUCUGUCCACGUGGGAGGGGCCGGGGUGAGGCAAGGGCUCACACUGACCUCUCUCAGCGUGGGAGGGGCCGGUGUGAGGCAAGGGGCUCACGCUGACCUCUGUCCGCGUGGGAGGGGCCGGUGUGAGGCAAGGGCUCACACUGACCUCUCUCAGCGUGGGAGGAGCCAGUGUGAGACAGGGGCUCACGCCUCUGGGCAGGGUGCCAGAGGCAUGAGUUGGGCAUCAACAGGCCAUCGUGAGGGAGGAGCUGGGCCGUACGCGGGCUGCUGGGA
rnacentral:lncRNA from 1 species